rnacentral:rRNA from 1 species
UGGGGAAUAUUGGACAAUGGGGGGAACCCUGAUCCAGCCAUGCCGCGUGUGUGAAGAAGCCCUUAUGGUUGUAAAGCACUUUAAGCGAGGAGGAGGGUACUGGUAUUAAUACUACCAGGUACUGGACGUUACUCGCAGAAUAAGCACCGGCUAACUCUGUGCCAGCAGCCGCGGCAAUACAGAGGGUGCGAGCGUUAAUCGGAUUUACUGGGCGUAAAGCGUGCGUAGGCGGCUAAUUGAGUCGGAUGUGAAAUCCCCGGGCUUAACUUGGGGAUUACAUUCGAUACUGGAUAGAUAGAGUGUUGGAGAGGAUGGGAGAAUUCCCGGUGUAGCGGUGAAAUGCGUAGAGAUCUGGAAGAAUACCGAUGGCGAAGGCAGCCAUCUGGCCUAACACAAACGCUGAAGUACGAAAGCAUGGGGAGCAAACAGG